UACGGGGGGGGCAAGCGUUGUUCGGAAUUACUGGGCGUAAAGGGCUCGUAGGCGGCCAACUAAGUCAGACGUGAAAUCCCUCAGCUUAACUGGGGAACUGCGUCUGAUACUGGAUGGCUUGAGUUCGGGAGAGGGAUGCGGAAUUCCUGGUGUAGCGGUGGAAUGCGCAGAUAUCAGGAGGAACACCAAUAGCGAAGGCAGCUCGCUGGGACGGUACUGACGCUGAGGAGCGAAAGCGUGGGGGAGCGAACAGG
rnacentral:rRNA from 1 species